rnacentral:tRNA from 1 species
UAGGGGGUAGUAUAAUUCGGUAGUACGCAAGGUUUUGAGUCUUGUAGUGCGGGUUCGGACCCCGGGCCCCUAG